rnacentral:rRNA from 1 species
GUGACCUCAAAUCAGGUAGGACUACCCGCUGAACUUAAGCAUAUCAAUAAGCGGAGGAAAAGAAACUAACAAGGAUUCCCAUAGUAACUGCGAGUGAAGCGGGAAAAGCUCAAAUUUAAAAUCUGGCAGCCUUUGGUUGUCCGAGUUGUAAUCUAGAGAAGUGUUAUCCGCGCUGGACCGUGUACAAGUCUCCUGGAAUGGAGCG